GAAGAAAAGAAAAAUCACACACGUAUGUCAUGUCGGUCUGUCAAUAGAGGGAAGCCACGCCCUAUUUUGGAGCUCCCACCCCGUUCAGGAGAUCUCCAGGCUACUGCGAUAUACUCUUAUACAUCCCGUCAACGGCGGGGAAAGAGUCAAAUGUAGUACAAUAAUGCACUUACAAUGGACAUUUAGGCAAACAUUAGAGGAAAUGUGAAGCCUUUAAAGCACUUAUAUUAGUUCUUCCUUUCGAAAAUGUGUUAAAUUAGCUGUAAGGUUGUAAUGAAAUAAAAUUUUCAUUUAAUUCGAUGAAACACUCAACGAAAAGAAAACUUGCAAUGUUGCCUAGACA